rnacentral:rRNA from 1 species
UACGGAAGGCAGCAGUGGGGAAUAUUGCACAAUGGGCGCAAGCCUGAUGCAGCCAUGCCGCGUGUAUGAAGAAGGCCUUCGGGUUGUAAAGUACUUUCAGUCGUGAGGAAGGUGUUAAGGUUAAUAACCUUAGCAAUUGACGUUAGCGACAGAAGAAGCACCGGCUAACUCCGUGCCAGCAGCCGCGGUAAUACGGAGGGUGCGAGCGUUAAUCGGAAUUACUGGGCGUAAAGGGCACGCAGGCGGUUAAUUAAGUUGGAUGUGAAAUCCCCGGGCUUAACCUGGGAAUGGCAUUCAAGACUGGUUAGCUAGAGUCUUGUAGAGGGGGUAGAAUUCCAUGUGUAGCGGUGAAAUGCGUAGAGAUGUGGAGGAAUACCGGUGGCGAAGGCGGCCCCUGGGACAAAGGCUGACGCUCAUGUGCGAAAGCGUGGGGAGGCAACAGGGAUUAGAUACC